GACGAACGCUGGCGGCGUGCUUAACACAUGCAAGUCGAACGGAGUGGCGAACGGGUGAGUAACACGUGGGUGAUCUGCCUUGCACAUCGGGAUAAUCUUGGGAAACUGGGGCUAAUACCGGAUAGUGCAAGAUGGGCUCGCGGCCUGUACUCGUGUUGGUGGGGUAAUGGCCUACCAAGGCGUCGACGGGUAUCCGGCCUGAGAGGGUGUACGGCCACAUUGGGGCUGAGAUACGGUCCAGACUCCUACGGGAGGCAGCAGUGGGGAGUAUUGCACAAUGGGCGGAAGCAUGAUGCAGCGACGCCGCGUGGGGGAUGAAGGCCUUCGGGUUGUAAACUCCUUUCGACAGGGACGCGGUACCUGUAUAAGAAGAACCGGCUAACUACGUGCCAGCAGCCGCGGUAAUUC
rnacentral:rRNA from 1 species